rnacentral:rRNA from 1 species
AACGAACGCUGGCGGCAGGCUUAACACAUGCAAGUCGAGCGCCCCGCAAGGGGAGCGGCAGACGGGUGAGUAACGCGUGGGAACGUACCCUUUGCUACGGAAUAGCUCCGGGAAACUGGAAUUAAUACCGUAUGUGCCCUACGGGGGAAAGAUUUAUUGGCAAAGGAUCGGCCCGCGUUGGAUGAGCUAGUUGGUGGGGUAAUGGCCUACCAAGGCGACGAUCCAUAGCUGGUCUGAGAGGAUGAUCAGCCACAUUGGGACUGAGACACGGCCCAAAGUCCUACGGGAGGCAGCAGUGGGGAAUAUUGGACAAUGGGCGCAAGCCUGAUCCAGCCAUGCCGCGUGAGUGAUGAAGGCCUUAGGGUUGUAAAGCUCUUUCACCGGAGAAGAUAAUGACGGUAUCCGGAGAAGAAGCCCCGGCUAACUUCGUGCCAGCAGCCGCAGUAAAAC